AUUGAACGCUGGCGGCAGGCCUAACACAUGCAAGUCGAGCGAGCGGCGGACGGGUGAGUAAUGUAUGGGGACUGCCCGAUAGAGGGGGAUAACUACUGGAAACGGUAGCUAAUACCGCAUACUAUCGGAUAACCCAUAUGGGAUUAGCUAGUAGGUGGGGUAAAGGCUCACCUAGGCGACGAUCCCUAGCUGGUCUGAGAGGAUGACCAGCCACACUGGGACUGAGACACGGCCCAGACUCCUACGGAGGCAGCAGUGGGGAAUAUUGCACAAUGGGCGCAAGCCUGAUGCAGCCAUGCCGCGUGUGUGAAGAAGGCCUUAGGGUUGUAAAGCACUUUCAGUGGGGAGGCGUUACCCGCAGAAGAAGCACCGGCUAACUCCGUGCCAGCAGCCGCGGUAAUUC
rnacentral:rRNA from 1 species